rnacentral:rRNA from 1 species
ACGGGGGGGGCAAGCGUUGUUCGGAAUUACCGGGCGUAAAGGGCUCGUAGGCGGCCAACUAAGUCAGACGUGAAAUCCCCGGGCUCAACCCGGGAACUGCGUCCGAUACUGGAAGGCUUGAAUUCGGGAGAGGGAUGCGGAAUUCCAGGUGUAGCGGUGAAAUGCGUAGAUAUCUGGAGGAACACCGGUGGCGAAGGCGGCAUCCUGGACCGGCAUCGACGCUGAGGCGCGAAAGCCAGGGGAGCAAACGGGA